rnacentral:rRNA from 1 species
AUGCACUGGUUUGUGUGGUGGAAGUUGUGUGUGCCAAAGAAAGAAGGUGGAAUGGGAUUUUGAGAUAUUCAUUGUUUUAACCUAGCCCUGCUUGCGAAAUAGACUUGGAUAUUAAUUGAUAAUCCAGAUUCCCUUUGUGCACGUGUUCUCAAAGCCAAGUAUUAUCUAGAUUGUGAUAUUUUGAAUGCAACUCUGGAAAAGAAAGCCUCAUUCACAUGGCAAAGUAUUAUGUUGGGGGUGCAGACACUAAAAAAGGUCAUACAUGGAGGGUUGGUGAUGGUAGUCGAAUCAAUGUUUGGGAUGAUGAAUGGAUCCCUAACUCACCUACCAAGAAAGUGA